UCUUGAUCCUGUUUCAUUUCACCCAUAAGAUCAUCAAGGGAGCCAUAGCCCUGAGGAAGAAAACCAACUUGUUGCUUUGUUGUCUGGAAGAGGUAGUCUUCAUUUGUUUUUGUCCUCGAGUCAUGAGUUAAUUUUUCACUUUCACGAUUGUGUGUGUGCAUUGAAGAACUACCAUUUGAUAUGCAGUUCAAAGAAGUCUCCACCCUUGUGCAGAACAUAUCAUUGUUUUGGUCCACAGGAUGAGUUAAAGAGGCCAUUCCACCAUUGCUAGAAACUUGAGAGCUCAUGUUACCAAAAAUAUUGUUUGAAUUGUGGGAAUAAUGUUGGUUCUGAUCUGGCCACCGUUGGCAGGUUGCUUGGUUCAUAAUCUGAACAGCACCCCCUAAACUUUCACGGCAUUGUGUUUCUCCUCUUGAAGCUUCGAAAGGUACGGAAACUAUGGUGGAGGUUGAAAAAUCAACAGGAUUGUUCUGCAAAUGAGGGCCAGUUGAAGUAUCAUUGUCUCGUACUCUGUCUUGAGGCAAAUGGCUG
rnacentral:misc_RNA from 1 species